rnacentral:rRNA from 1 species
GGGUGAACGCUGGCGGCGUGCCUAAGGUAUGCAAGUCGAGCGAUCGAGCCACCUUCGGGUGGUCACGGAGCGGCGGACGGGUGAGUAACACGUUGGCAUCUACCCCAAAGUGGGGGAUAGCUCCGGGAAACCGGAAUUAAUACCCCAUGUGCUCUUACGAGUAAAGGUUUUUCGCUUUGGGAGGAGCCUGCGUCCGAUUAGCUUGUUGGUGAGGUAAAAGCUCACCAAGGCGACGAUCGGUAGCUGGUCUGAGAGGAUGAUCAGCCACACUGGGACUGAGACACGGCCCAGACCUCUACGGAGGGCAGCAACUAGGAAUCUUGCGCAAUGGGCGAAAGCCUGACGCAGCGACGCCGCGUGCCGGAUGAAGGCCUUCGGGUUGUAAACGGCUUUUGUAAGGGAAGAUUAUGACGGUACCUUACGAAUAAGGGUUUGCUAACUCCGUGCCAGCAGCCGCGGUCAUACGGAGGACCCAAGCGUUACCCGGAAUUACUGGGCGUAAAGAGUCGCGUAGGCGGUUUGCCAAGUUUUUGCUUAAAGUCCAGGGCCNNNCUCUGGAACUGGCAAAAAAACUGGCAAACUAGAGGAAGGCAGAGGCGAGUGGAAUUCCUGGAGUAGGGGUGAAAUCCGUAGAUACCAGGAGGAACACCAAUGGCGUAGGCAACUCGCUGGGCCUUUCCUGACGCUGAGGCACGAAAGCGUGGGUAGCGAACCGGAUUAGAUACCCGGGUAGUCCACGCCGUAAACGAUGGAUGCUAGCUGUUGGGAGUAUCGACCCUCUCAGUAGCGAAGCUAACGCGUUAAGCAUCCCGCCUGGGGAGUACGAGCGCAAGCUUAAAACUCAAAGGAAUUGACGGGGACCCGCACAAGCGGUGGAGCGUGUGGUUUAAUUCGAUGAUACGCGAAGAACCUUACCAAGACUUGACAUCCCGAUCGUAGUCCACAGAAACGUGGACGUCAGUUCGGCUGGAUCGGUGACAGGUGAUGCAUGGCCGUCGUCAGCUCGUGUCGUGAGAUGUAGGGUUAAGUCCCUUAACGAGCGCAACCCUCGUCGCAAGUUGUAUUUGUCUUGCGAGACUGCCUCGGCAACGGGGAGGAAGGAGAGGAUGACGCCUGGUCCUCAUUUCCCUUAUGUCUUGGGCUACACACACGCUACAAUGGCCGAUACAAUAGGUUCUGCCAAGCAGCAAUGCGGAGCUAAUCCUAUCAAAAUCGGUCUUAGUUCGGAUCGGGGGCUGAAACUCGCCCCCGUGAAGUCGGAAUCGCUAGUAACCGCGCGUCAGCCAUAGCGCGGUGAAUACGUUCCCGGGUC